rnacentral:lncRNA from 1 species
AUAAGCUCAUUAUAUAUAUAUAUAAAAAAUUUUAUUUAUAAAUAUUUAUUCAUAUAGUAUUUUAUUUUUAUGUAGAAAUAUUAUUAUAUAAUAUUUUAUUUAUAAAAUUGUAAUUAUUUAUUAAUAUUUUUAAAUAUAUAACUCUUAUAUAUUAUUAGUAUAUGUUUAUUAUAAUUUUAAAUAUAUUUAAUCUAUAUAUAAAUAUUAUAAUAAUAAUAUAUAUAGUAUAAUACCGAAUUUUUAAAANAUAUAAAAAAUUUUAUUUAUAAAUAUUUAUUCAUAUAGUAUUUUAUUUUUAUGUAGAAAUAUUAUUAUAUAAUAUUUUAUUUAUAAAAUUGUAAUUAUUUAUUAAUAUUUUUAAAUAUAUAACUCUUAUAUAUUAUUAGUAUAUGUUUAUUAUAAUUUUAAAUAUAUUUAAUCUAUAUAUAAAUAUUAUAAUAAUAAUAUAUAUAGUAUAAUACCGAAUUUUUAAAAGUUAUAUAUAAAAAUUAUAUUUGAUCUCGAAUUUUUAAUUGGUGAACGUAUAAUACCCGUAUAAAUCACGUAUCCGAAUAACUGCCGAAUCUGUUUUUUAGUCGUAUUUUUCAACGAAUUUAAAAAUUAAAAGACGAAUUUUAUCCGAAUUAUAUCCGUAUCGAAUUUUUGCCGAAUCCAAAUUAACUAACUAUGUCUCCAGCCACCAAGGUUGGUUUAGCUGCGAUCGAUCUCAUUCGUUCAUCUGCUCGCUCCCGACGUGCUUAAUUAAUUAAUUGAUAUUUGAAGGGCAAAAAAGAAAAGUAUUUGCUAUAUGAAGGGUAUAUAAGAAAAGUUAGUUACGGUAUGAGGGUAUAUUGAAAUGGGCAAAAUGAUAAUUUUUCAGAGAUAACGGUAGCUCACUAACGGAACUUAACUCCAUGGGUAUAUUAGAAAGAUUUGGAAUAUAAGAAGGGUAUUUUCAAUAUUAGCCUUCUAAAAGGGGUAAAUAAGAAAACCAGAAAUUUUUCAGGAGUAUAUAGGCAAUUGCCCCUUUUUUAAAAAUGACCCUAUGCUUUCCGAAAUUUUCACAAAAGUGAUAAAUCAUUAUCGUCUUUCUCUUAUUUAUUAUUAUUUUUUUUUAUAUCACAUAUAUAAUUUAAUAAUUGUAUAAAAAUUUUAACAAAUCACGUAUAAUCUUAAUAACCUGAAAAAUUCUAAUAAUCUACUCAUACUAUUCUAACAAUCAAAUAAAAAUUCUAAUUAUCUAUAUAUAAUCCUAACAACUAUAUAAAAAUUUCAACAAAUUACAUACAAUUUUAACAAUCUAAAAAAUCCUAACAAACAAUCUUCAAAAAUGCAAUGGAAUAAUUCACUGCUUUAGUAGAAAAUUGCCGUCUUCUUAAAGACAGUGAAUAUUACUGUCUUCUUAAAGACAGUGAAUAAUUCACCGUUUUUAAAAGAAUUCCACCCCCUAUGCUGAGUGAUUUGGCGAAAGGAGUGUUAUUUCGCCAAAUAUUUUUUUAGUAGGGUCCUUUAGCCAAUUAUAAUACUCUUAGGGUGCGUUUGGUUCGCGCUAUCUUUUAAAGAUUCAUAGUAAUCCAAUGGGAACAAAAAAUUAUGACGGUGUUUGGCUAAACGCACUAAGUAAUCUAGUUGGUAAUAUUGGAUUCACUUGGGAAUAAGAUUCACCCCAAAGUACUAAUCUCAUUCCCUUGAGGGAGGGUGGGUAUCCUCAUAUUAAUGGAUUGGAGUAAUCAUAAUAUGUCUAAUUUCUCUCUUUCUUCCUACCCGCCGGCUAAUUGAUAUUAGUUGUCUUUACACUCUAACCUUAUAUCUCUCUCUAAACUUAUUUUUCUCUCUAAAAUUCAACUUUUUUUUCUCUCUCUAAACUAAGCUUUCUCUCUCUCUCUCUCUCUUUUUCUAAAAUUUCAACUCUCUCACUCCCUCUAAUUUUGACUAUAUUUUUCUUUCUAUUUUUUUAAUUAUGCUCUCUCUCUCUAAUUUAUACUCGCUCUCCCUUUUUUCUAAAAAGAUGUUGAAACUUUUGGUAACAUUAUCUAAAAUUAAAUAAAUAAAUAAAUUAAUUAAUUGUAUAUUUUUUGUAAUAUUAAAUAACAUGGCUAAUUAAUAUUACCGUGCGAGCCAAACAUAGCAAUUCCACAUUCUUAGUAAUAGGAUGAAUAGGAAUAAGAUUCUCGGAUAUCUUUUAUUGCUAGUAAUCUUUCAUAAUGCAAACCAAACGCAUCCUUAUGGUUAUUUGAAAAAAAAAAAAAAUCCAACUAUGACAUGUCCCCCAGCAUAAUAAAAUCAAUGCAUCUAAUAGCACUCCUAUCCACAUUCCCCAGUUCGAUCCCUCACCAUAAAUGCAUCCAAUAUACCUUCUAUACACAUUCCCUAGCAAUGGCCACACCACUGUGGCGCAGCUCCUGGGCUUCUAUUGUUGACGACAAAAGGCAAGCUAGGAGACGACUAAAUUAAAGAAAUCAAAUAAUUCUGCUCGGACUAGGGGUGGAAACGAGCUGAGCUCGAGCGAGCUUACUUCUGCUCAAGCUUGACUUGAAAUUAAUUUUGAGCCUAAAUUUAGGCUCAAGCUUGGCUUGAAAUUAAUUCGAGCAGAGCUCAAGCGAGCUCGAGCCCUAAAUGAGUUGCUUGAAAUUCUUAAAAUCGUGCAAUCAAUAGUUUAAUUUUUAUAAAAUAUUAUUUAAAUUUGAUAUAAAAAAUAUUUAAUAAUUUAACAUACAAAAUGAAUGUAUAAAUACGAUAUUAUAAUAUUAAAAAAAUUAUGAAAAGCCGAGGAAGUGAAAAAGAGAGAAAGAGAGCAAUUAGAGUAAGAUUUUGCUGGUUUGGUUUUGUGGGCCCAAUAAUCUAAAUUCUAUAUACAUAUAAUUAAAAUACAUAAUAUAUAUUAUUUUAUAUAAUUUAAAUAUAUAUUAUAUAUAAUUAUAUAUAGAGAUAGUUUGGCUACUAUAUAUACUGUAGCACACUGAACUUUAACAAAUUGCAAGGUUCUAGUGUUCGAAUAGUAUUUGGUACUAUUUCUAGUGAGUUUGAGGGUCGUGGACUGUGUACCGACCUAAUACUCGCGUUUUACGAGGAGAAAUAGUGUACUUAGCAUCAAAAUCUGCAAACUGCAGGUUUUGGGGAGCUAAGUACCGGUACCGCAGUGAGGUACCG